rnacentral:rRNA from 2 species
UGGGGAAUAUUGGGCAAUGGGCGAAAGCCUGACCCAGCAAUGCCGCGUGAAGGACGAAGGUCUUCGGAUUGUAAACUUCUUUGAUCAGGGACGAAAGCAAUGACGGUACCUGAAGAACAAGCCACGGCUAACUACGUGCCAGCAGCCGCGGUAAUACGUAGGUGGCGAGCGUUAUCCGGAUUUACUGGGUGUAAAGGGCGUGUAGGCGGAUUCUCAAGUUGGAUGUGAAACCCCUUGGCUAAACUGAGGGCUUGCAUUCAAAACUGAGGACCUUGAGUAUCAGAGGGGAAAGUGGAAUUCCUGGUGGAGCGGUAAAAUGCGUAGAGAUCAGGAGGAACACCGGUGGCGAAGGCGACUUUCUGGCUGACAACUGACGCUGAGGCGCGAAAGCGUGGGGAGCAAACAGG